rnacentral:rRNA from 1 species
UACGUAGGGUGCGAGCGUUAAUCGGAAUUACUGGGCGUAAAGCGUGCGCAGGCGGUUCGUUAAGUUCGUUGUGAAAGCCCCGGGCUCAACCUGGGAACUGCAAUGGAAACUGGCGAGCUUGAGUGUGGCAGAGGGGGGUGGAAUUCCGCGUGUAGCAGUGAAAUGCGUAGAGAUGCGGAGGAACACCGGUGGCGAAGGCGGCGCUCUGGACCGAGACUGACGCUGAGGCGCGAAAGCGUGGGGAGCGAUCCGG